rnacentral:lncRNA from 1 species
CAAAACACGUCCGAUUGACCUAAAAUAUUUCAUGCACGUCCAAAAUGACAUGACUGUGCUACAGCAACUUCCGGAAUCCCGUUCCGACCCUCGAAUCAAAAUUUUCCUAACGGACCGGAAACUUCAAAAUUCUAACUUUCGGCAUUUAUAUCCUAAAUGAGAUACGGGCAUUCAAAAACAUUCCGAACACGCUUCCAACCCCAA